rnacentral:lncRNA from 1 species
GCAUCUUCUUAAAAAAAAAAAAAAAAUUGAGUCAGGUAGCUCAGCUGCAACGUCAGACAACUCAGGAAAGGAGACCAGCCUGUGGAACCAUCACUGCCUGCUUGGAAUUUGAUACUCUGAAUGAUUCAUAGAGUCUUCCUGCCGAUUCCAACCACAGAAGUACUUUCUGUCUAAAGCAUUAAGCCUGAAAAUCCAUAACUCACAGGGUCCUCAGAACAAUUGGGAAAAUAAGAGGCACUGAAAGUGAUACCUGGAGCUGGAAGUGGCCACAACAAGACUUGGAGAGCAGCAUCUUUCUCCUUGAUGAGCAGAAACACAGAUUAUUGCAACAUCUAUUUUGUGGCUGUGGACUUAUCUCUUCUUGGAACUCCUCCUGGACUGUGAGACUUCAGAUUCAGGCCUGGGCACCAGAAGACUUUGCCGGUGGCCCAUGACUAAGACUCUGUGCUUCCAGUGCAGGGGCCCAGCUUUGAUCACUGGUCAGGAAACUAGAUCCCGCAUGCCCCAGCUAAGACCCAAUGCAGCCAAAUAAAUAAAUAAACUUUUUUUAAAAAGGAAAUCA